GUCUACCCCAACCGAUCACCAACAAUUACAACAUUUUUUCAUACACAAGUCAGUUCUGAUUCAUGAAAUCCGCAAAAUUUCUCGGAACUCAUUAGAUAGGUGAGUCGGAACAUAAUGAAAUCUUCCCACCUAACCUAUUAAUCGAAACAGGCUAAGACUGGCAAUAACAUGAUGAUAUAUUCGCUUUGAACAUUUCUGCAU
rnacentral:misc_RNA from 1 species